rnacentral:lncRNA from 1 species
CAUCAACACUUCGAGUACCAGAAAUUACAAAGACAGGUAAGUAUUUGGGCAUACCUUCAAACUGGGGGCAAUCCAAGAAAGACAUGUUCGCAUGGAUCCUAGCUCUGGUCAACUCCAAACUGGAUAGCUGGAAGGAAAAACCGUUAUCAAAAGCAGGGAAGGAAAUACUUCUGAAAGUAGUAAUUCAAGCGAUCCCACAAUAUGCCAUGUCGAUCUUUAAAAUUCCUACUUCGAUUUGUAAAGCAAUCGAGAAAAAAGUUGCAGCGUUUUGGUGGAAAAGCAAUGAAAAAAAGGCUGGCAUUCACUAGAAGAAGUGAGACUUGCUAAAAACCAGAAAGAGUGAAGGGGGCAUGGGUUUCAAGGAUCUACAGACUUUCAAUACAGCAAUGCUAGCAAAACAGAUGUGGCGAAUAAUCACUAAUCCAGACCUACUGGUAACUCAAUUAUUGAAAGGCCUUUACUACUCACAUGGAGAUUUUUGGCAUGCUGGCAAAGGCUCACGGCCCUCGUGGGGAUGGCAGAGCCUCAUCAAGGCAAGGGAUUCAGUUGCUCCUCAGGUGAUGAACCGGAUAAGAAAUGGAAAAAAAACAUCAAUCAGAACAGAGAGGUGGUUAAAAAGCGGCACAAUAGGAGGACCAGCAUCAAACCAUGAACCAGACAAAGUAUCAAAUAUAAUCAAUCCAGACACAGGAACAUGGAAUGAGCCUCUUCUACAUUCAAUGUUUGACGACCGAACGGUAUGAGAAAUUCUAGCCACACCCAUUGGCUUACCUGAUGAAGAGGAUUAACUGGUAUGGAUGCACACAAAAUCAGGUAAUUAUUCAGUAAAAAGCGGUUAUUUCACAUUCCGAAAUGUCUCCGUCUCAUCACAGAACACACAAGCCACAUCAUCUUACACAGCCAAUCCCGAUCUCUGGAAAUUUAUUUGGCACUCCACAACCCCACCCAAAAUAAAAAAAAUUCCUCUGGAAUGCAUGCAACAACGCCCUUGCAACUAUGGAAAAUCUACACCACCGAAGGAUCGUACCUUCCCCGA